GAGAGAGCGAGAGCAAGAGGGCCACAUUAAAAAACAGCUAACAGAGGCUCAUAGAGACAGACAGGGACACGGAGACAUUCAUUCACUUACUGUGUGCCAAGCCUGUGUGCUUCUGGAGACAGGGCUAUUAGCAAGAGAGACACCAUCCCUGACCUAAGAACUCAGAGACCCAGAGAGAAAGAAUGAUGCUAGAGAUAGAGCCAGAGGUUCCAAAGGCCCCUAGGGAAAACU
rnacentral:lncRNA from 10 species